GGGGAAAGUGUCGUUGUUUGAGGUGGGACUCACUUCAGUGUAACACCAAACAAUGGAUGGACAUGAAGCGGGCUUCGUUCAUGUGAAACAAAGUUAUGAAGAGAAAACAGCAAAAACAGGUGACCUCGGCUGGCGUGACGGUGAGAGGCGUGUCACAGGUGCCCAGAGGAUGGCAGCUCACAGGACGGCCAGCCUCGGGCGGAGACUCCAGUGCCAGACACAGCAGGUCCAGAAAAGGAUAUCCUGCCCAAGCGAAAAUGUAUCGUCUUCAUCGUACACAAUGGAGAAAAUGGUUGGAUUGGACCAAAAGUUGUUUCAUUUUAAAGAUGAUUGGCAGUGAAGAACUUGACGUAAGACGUCACCUGGCGUAGUUGACCAGACAAAGCAGACUGGUCUCCAACAACUGAACAACAACCAGCGGACCGGCAACUUCCAUCAGAGGCUCCUGCAACACAUUACAAACAACACAGUUCAGACCCUUCAAGCCUCCACGGGCCCACAACCCUGAUCCCCUUACCCGGGCAAAGACCACCGUGCCCUCUGGGACGGCGCGCAGCGUGACGCCAGAACAGUCCAGACCUCGCAGGUACUGGAAGAAGGCCGCGUCGGUGGCUGGCGGCAAGACGGAACGCAGGAAGUCCAC